rnacentral:rRNA from 1 species
UUAUUUGAAAUGUAAAUUGUUUAACUAGGAUUAUUAUUAGUUAUGGUCUUUAAAAUUAAAAAAUUUGGCGGUAUUUUAGUCUAUUCAGAGGAACCUGUUUUUUAAUUGAUAGUCCACGAUGAUUUUUACCUUGACUUUAAAUUUGCAUAUCGUCGUUUAUAAAAAUUUUAGGAGAAUUUAAAUUUUUGAAAUUUUAUAUUUGAAGGUAGUUCAGAUCAAGGUGUAGUUUAUGUUAAGGUUAAAAUGGGUUACAAUAAUUUAAAUUAUGGAUUCUAUUUUUUGAAAGUAGAUGAAAAUGGAUUUGACAGUAAAUUUUUUAUUUUUGGGAAUUGAUUUAGCUCUAAAAUAUGU